AGUAAUGUCUGGGAAACUGCCUGAUGGAGGGGGAUAACUACUGGAAACGGUAGCUAAUACCGCAUAAUGUCGCAAGACCAAAGUGGGGGACCUUCGGGCCUCAUGCCAUAAGAUGUGCCCAGAUGGGAUUAGCUAGUAGGUGGGGUAACGGCUCACCUAGGCGACGAUCCCUAGCUGGUCUGAGAGGAUGACCAGCCACACUGGAACUGAGACACGGUCCAG
rnacentral:rRNA from 1 species